rnacentral:misc_RNA from 1 species
UUUCCGUAGGUGAACCUGCGGAAGGAUCAUUACUGAGUGAGGGCCCCUCGGGGUCCAACCUCCCACCCGUGUUUAACGAACCUUGUUGCUUCGGCGGGCCCGCCUCACGGCCGCCGGGGGGCAUUUGCCCCCGGGCCCGCGCCCGCCGAAGCCACCUGUGAACGCUGUCUGAAGUAUGCAGUCUGAGACAAUUAUUAAAUUAAUUAAAACUUUCAACAACGGAUCUCUUGGUUCCGACAUCGAUGAAGAACGCAGC